rnacentral:rRNA from 1 species
AAUAGAUACCCAGGUAGUCCACGCCCUAAACGAUGCGAACUGGAUGUUGGGUUCAACUUGGAACCCAGUAUCGAAGCUAACGCGUUAAGUUCGCCGCCUGGGGAGUACGGUCGCAAGACUGAAACUCAAAGGAAUUGACGGGGGCCCGCACAAGCGGUGGAGUAUGUGGUUUAAUUCGAUGCAACGCGAAGAACCUUACCUGGUCUUGACAUCCACGGAACUUUCCAGAGAUGGAUUGGUGCCUUCGGGAACCGUGAGACAGGUGCUGCAUGGCUGUCGUCAGCUCGUGUCGUGAGAUGUUGGGUUAAGUCCCGCAACGAGCGCAACCCUUGUCCUUAGUUGCCAGCACGUAAUGGUGGGAACUCUAAGGAGACCGCCGGUGACAAACCGGAGGAAGGUGGGAUGACGUCAAGUCAUCAUGGCCCUUAGACCAGGGCUACACACGUACUACAAUGGGAAGGACAGGGGGCUGCAAUCCCGGCAGGGGGAGCCAAUCCCAGGAAACCUUCUCUCAGUCCGGAUCGGAGUCUGCAACUCGACUCCGUG